rnacentral:lncRNA from 1 species
CAAAUAUAUCACAAGAUUUUGCCUCACUAUCUCAUCACCACCGCCAUUGCAUCAACAGGUAGGGUUCCAGGAUCGGUCGACCACAUGUAGCCGCUAUAGGACGACAACCAGGUGAUUAAAUAAACUAUUUACUCACGUUUAUCACUAAUGAUUUUCAGCGUUUAAUGAUUAACAGAUUUGAGAACCAAAACUAACGCUCCUUGAAACUUCAAAGAAGAUCAUAAACGAUAACAGACUAUUUUCAAAAUUAAAAGCAGUCGCACAUUCAAGUUUGCUAUAACAAACAUCGACAAGUUUUAAGCACAAAACUUUCUCGCUAAAAUUAUCUUCAAAGACAAAGUUAUUCCAAUUAGAGACACAUUUCCACCGGAUAAAACUUUUGCUUUACAACUUACACAACCUCACAAAUAAUAUCUCUCUUUUCAAAUAGAAUUCACAACUUUUCCAAAACAACGAGUUUUCGAACAAGGUUUCAAAACAUUCUUUACAAAUCUUAUUUAGCCAUUUUAGACAUUAAACUGAGCAGAAUAUAGAUUUUCCUUUUCCCAAAUCUACCCUAAGUUUAAGGAGCCACCUCAGAUGGAUUUUAAGAGAUGCAUAACACCUUCCCCUUAGAAUAACUAGAACCCUUAUCCAAAUCUCAAUGGUUAGAAGACUAUUAAGAUAAUAAACUUACAGACUUAUAGGUACCCUAAUAUACCUUUAAAUAUUAGGUAGCGACUCUCUUUUAUCAACCUCAGAUUAACAAUAAGAUACUUACCUCAAGCAAGCCAAAUCAAAUACCGAGCAAGCCCAACAAUACUCUAGAAACGCCAUCCUAUGCGAAUCGACCUUCGAACGGCUCGAAAGUAGCCAAAAACAACUCAAAAUCAUCAAAUAAUGCAAAAGGAAGUAAACCCAAAUAAUAAAAGUCGAAUAUUUAACCAAAUACUCAAAGUCAACUCGGGCCCACAUCUCGAAUCUGAUAAAACUCAAAAAUUCCGACAAUUUAUUCAAUUAAGAGCCCAACCAUAGUAAUUUCAUUUAAAUCCGACUUCGAAUCGAUGUUCAAAACCCAAUUAUUCACUUUAGGAAAAUUUAGACAAAAUCCCCCCAAUUUGUCUUUUACAAUCAUCAAUCAAAUGCACAAAUCGAAGAUGGAAUCAUGUAAUAUAAUAAAACCCGAGUAGAAAAUCCUCUAACAAAUCUCCCAAAUCAGAGUUCCCCAACUCAAAAUGUGAUAAAAUGAGCUCAAGGUCCGAAAUAGAGUACUUUAUAAUCAGUAUCCAGUUAUAUGCAUCGUGAUCGCGGCAUGACCCUCGCGAUAGCGAAGAAGAAAAAAUCACACUAGCCUGAAAUACUCUACGCGUUUGCGAAACAGACCAUGCAAACGCAAUGCGCACAGAUGCCAACGCUCCGCGAACGCGACCUACGACACGCUAACGCGAAGAAGAGUUCUCCAGCUCCCAGCUGCCCAACGCAAAUGUGAUCCCACUGUGCCAACGCUCCGCGAACGCGACCUACGACACGAACGCGAUGAAGAAAAUCACCAAGCGCUAGACUUAACUUAUGCGAUCGCGGAUACAUCUUCGCGAUCGCGAAGAACAAUUGAGGCAUCAAAAACCAGCAAAAGCCAGCAAUGAAAUCAUCCUCCAAGAUGAUCUGAAAUCAUCCCGAAACUCACCCGAGCUCCUCGAGACCCCAUCCGAACGUAUCAACAAGUCCCAAAAUAUAACACGGAUCAUUCGAGGCCUCAAAUUGUACAUAACAACAUCAAAAUCAUGAAUCGCACCUCAAAUCAAACUUAAUGAACUUUUGUACUUUCAACUUCUAAAAUUCAUGUCGAACCAUAUCAAAUUAACUCGGAAUGGCCUCAAAUUUUGCACACAAGUUCAAAAGGACAUAACAAACCUAGUCCAAUUUUCAGAACAACAAUCCAAAACCGAUAUCAUCAAAGUCAACUCCCGGUCAAACCUAUGAACUUUUCAAUCCUUCAAAUUGCCAACUUACGCUAAUUAGUACCAAACAUUCUAAAAACAUCCAAAUGCAAAUCCAGGCAUACAUCCAAGUCCAAAAUCACCAUUCGGACCUAAUGAAACCUCAAAAUUUCGAUCUGAGGUCAAAUACACGAAAGCCAAACUUGGUAAACUCUUCCAACUUAAAACUUCCUAGUUGAGAAUCAUUCUUCUAAAUCAAUCCCGAACCACUAAAAAACUCCGAUGAUACACAUAAGUCAUAAUAUAUCAUAUGAAGCUACGGAUGCCCUUGAACCACCAAACGAAAUACAAUUGCUCAGAACAACCGGUCUGGUCGUUACAAAUUUACACUAUUAUGGUCUGCGAAACCGUUAAGAUUCCAAGUAAGAGUUCAAAUUAUCUAGAGGGAAAGGGGUUAGGCAUCCCUCAAGAUCAACAAAAAUGUAUGUCCCGCAGACUUAAUCAAAUAUAUGAGGGAAGGUUCAAAAGAAUGAUUAACUACCUCACAUAGAAUUCCUAUCAAGAGUAGCCAAUGUAAUUGUCAUGCAACGAAUAAAUAUUUAAACCGGGACUAUUUUAUUUGUAGAAAAAUAUAUACAAUAGGAUAUGCAAAGUAAAUUAAUAAACAAAAAUCUUUGGGGUUUGAUUGAAAGAAUUGGAUUCGAACUAAAGUAUAAAGAAAACUUUGAUUUAUAAUUAAAGCCAAGUGAAUAUAGAAGGUUAGUCUUAUGUAAAUAAAGGUAAAGAGUUACCUUUGAAUAAUUAGCUAUCAAUUAAAUUAAAGAAACAAUCAAAUAAAAUAAUUUUUUUUAUCAUAAAUUGUGGGGGGCAUAAGAAAGAAUUAUCUAAAUAAAUCUUAUAUGAUAGGAUGUCUAAGGUUCUAUCCUAAAGGGUUAGUUGAGUAAAGAAUAAAUAGGGAACAUGAAAGGUUUGUCAAUGAUAUACAAGAAAAGAAUUAUUUUUUAAUGAAAAAGUACGUUUAAAAAUAAAUAAAUUAAAUACCUAUGAUUAAAACUUUACCUAAGGCUAUUACUUUAAAUCACAUUGUUAGCCAAAGAAAUAUUCACAGACAUGAAUCUAAGUGUCACAGUAUAAGAUAUGGUAAGAGUAGAGAAAAAUAUAAUGAUAAUUAAAUAUUUUAAAAUUUGUACUAAACACAACUAAAUUAUUCACAAUCUCAAAUUUACUCGAGUUAAACUAACUAGUUGGAUUAACUACGUGAAUACAAAUCAAGUAAUCAAACCAAUUACAAGAACAUGUCUAAGGCCUAAGUAUUUGAUGUGAACUAUUGUUAGCUAAGGCUAGACGGCUAAAAUUAUUUUUUAUCUACACAUGAUUUUCUAUGUGUGAUAGAUAGAGCAGAUAAAUACCUAAAAGGAUAAGUAAAGCAAUAUUCUAAGUAGAUUUCGACUAUACUUGUAUUUGAGUACAUCUGAGAACGGAAAGUACGAAUCGGGAAAUCGGGAAAUGUGACGGGAAUUUAUCUUUAUAUCUCCGAGUUUACUCCUCAAAGCUCUACAAGUAAAGUACCUCGCAAAGAAAGAAGAGAAACAUGUUAGUAAAUAACAUGAUAAAAAAACAAACUAACAAAAUGAUAUGUUUUUUGAAAAUGACUUUUUGAAAUCUUUUUGGAAUUUUUUUUUGAAAAUAGUUUGAAAUAUAUUUUUGGGAGGUUCGUAUUGUAUAUUCGAUUUUCGUCUAGAAAUGAAAACGAGAACCCCCUGGUUGCGACUACGGUAGCCAACCGUGUCGCUGUCCAAAGUGUUAGUUCAUCACGUUCUCGUCUUUCUCUUUUCGAUAAGUUAUCGUCAUCGCCUCUUUAUUUUCGGGCCCGAUUCAGAGGGUCAAUCGGAGGUUCAUGGCCUCAAUAUUUUUGCAAUUUACAAAACAACUUACAAACGGAGAAACAAUGAGAAAACAAAAUCGAACGAGAUAACAAUAAAGGCAAAUGAGCAACCACUGUCGAUAAAAUGGUAGAGACAAAGUUACAACAACAUUAUCAGUGGAACGAACGCCCAUCAUUUGGGAUUAGGCAGCAAAGGCUCAAUAAGGAUGUAAAUAAGAAAUUAAACUUUUAACACCAAGUAAUCUUUACAGAGGCUAAAAGCAGUUAGGGGUCGCCGGAAUUUAAAACUUUCCGAUUAGGUCGCCGGAAUAUUAAGGGCACAAGAUUUAUUAGAUAAUAAAAUAGUAAUAGUCCACAUCCCACAAAUAGGGAUACAUCAACAAUGAGAGGCAAUGAUAUCGCCGACGUUUGGUCUUAACUUUUGGUCUUUAUUUUCUGAUGGAGGAAGCAAAUGCAAAACGUCACCGGAAACAAUAAGCUACGGCUAGAUCUGAUGAUUACCAGCUUAACAGUAAAAUCAACCAACGUCAUCAAGGUUGGAGGCGUUUCUUCGAUGGCCACAGCACCGGAACAACGGCCAAAAGAGAAGAUACGUUCAAUAUUAUGCCGAAAAAUAAAUUUCGACUAGAUCUAAAAGUUAUCCAUGACUUCUGGCGCGUUGUGGUAGUGAUUCAAACGACGCAGUGAUGGCGUGCGGUUGAAGUAGCAGUCACUAGCCAGCCGGUGAUGAAAUCUAGUGGCAGUGUGCGCAGGAGAUAGGAAAGAUGGCGGAUAGCCAUGAGAGAAGGGGUAGAGAGAUUCGGGGGUGCCACUGCCUGGUAAAACAAUGAGAGGAGGGAUAAGGUUUUCCCUUAUAAAAAAUGUUGAUGGAAUCCUCCCCCACCCCAAAUGUGUAGUGUCUAGAUAUUUUAUGUAAUAUGGUGUUAAAACACGUGGCCUUCAUUUAAUCAAAAAUAAAAU